rnacentral:lncRNA from 1 species
CAGAACUCUGACUCAGGUCAAGUGUGCUAGUCACCACCCUUCCUGCUGAUAACAAGCAUCCUUAGCUUUCUUUCAUUCUUUCUUUCUCUUUCUUUUCUUCCUUUUUUCUUUCUUUCUUUCUCUUUCUUUCUCUCUCAAUAUCUCUCUCUAUCUCUGUCUCUCCUUCUAUUUCCCUCUUCUCUUUCUCUCUCUCUCUCUCUCUCUCUCUCUCUCUCUCUCUCUCUCUCUCUCUCUCUCUCUCUCUUCCCCCCCCUUUUACCUUCAGUCUUAGAAUCAAAACUAAGCAUUGGUUCCAAGGCGGAAAAGAAGUAAGGGCUAGACAGUUAGAAUAAAGUGACUUGCCCAGGGUCACACAGCUAGAAAGUGUCCCCCUACUGACUCCAUCAUUUAGCUUUCUAACUAACAAUCCUAUUAUCCUCCUCUAUGGGACUGAAAAGGAUCCAAAUCAAGGAAGGCAGCUAGAUGGUACAAAGCCUAGGAAGAAGAAGAAGAAGAAGAAGAAGAAGAAGAAGAAGAAGAAGAAGAAGAAGAAGAAGAAGAAGAAGAAGAAGAAGAAGAAGAAGAAGAAGAAGAAGAAGAAGAAGAAGAAGAAGAAGAAUUUACACGAAUGUGAUAAGACCUUUAGUACUAAUGGAUAACUGUAUGUCAUAGUUAUCUGUAUCUGUGUCUUCUCCCAAGAAUGUCUGAAAUGCCUACCCUUUCUCUCUUUGCAUUCUGAAUUUUUAUCCAUUUUUUUUUACAAAUUAAAGCAAUAGGAGGUAGCAGAAAGAAAGAGCCCAGGACUUGGAUUUAUUUGAGACCUGGAUUCAGAUCCUAUCUCCAACCCUUGUGUAUCUAUGAGCAAGUCACCUAAUCUCUCUAGGCUCAGUUUUUCAUCCUUUAAAUGGAGAGAGUAAUACUUUUAUUCUCAGUCUCCCUAGGCUGCGGGGAAAAAUUGAAUGUAAUAAUGUAUAUAAUGCUCUUUGCAAAGCCUAAAAUAUCAUAUAAGUGCUAGCUAUUUUUAUUAUUCACUCUCCUGCAGUUUCUCCGCCUCCUUGUAUCUCUC